UGUUUGUUUUGAAUUUUUGGAACGCUGGAAGACUAGAAAUGUUUUUCUUUUAAAAAGAAUAAUAACAGAACAGAUCAAGGCUUAAUGUUUUAUUUUGUAGAUAAUAAAGGGGGCAGGUCUAUCAACAGUAUUUUAUUUGUACCUUUUGAAAAAGCCAACAAAUUCCUUUCAUUAUUCAUUUUAACACAUUCCUGCUCUUUUAAUUUUUAAUUCCAAUAAUUGUGGAAGGGCAAAAUGAUGAACUCGAGAUUUCUGGGUGGAUAUGAUAUCAAUUAGAAUAGAAAAGAAUAGAAUAAUUCUUUAAUUGUCCCACAAGGGGAAAUUUGGUUGUAUCAGUAGCACAAAAAAAAAAAAAAAAAAAAAAAAAAAAAGUAGUAUGCAUCACGUGAUAGAGCGGCUGUGGCGUGCAUGACCUGUCAGCAGUCUGGUUGAGUAUUUGGAGCGUUGCUACCAAACCGGCAUUUCAUCUCCGAGGAAGUUAUCCCAGAGAGAAGUAAAGCAAGUGUAGAUCUGGCUCUUUCUCUCACGGCGAGCGAGAUGAGCCGUGUGGAGAGGAUAAAGGAGGAUCCAAUAGCAGGCAGUUGUGAAGGUGUAAAGGUGAUUUAUUGAAUACCAAGCACAGGGAGGAUAUGGCAAACGAAGAUAAACCAAACUAUACUGGAAAUAACUAAGCUACUGAACACAAACCAGGACAUGAACAUGAAGGAAGAUAGAUGACAGUACAUGAAGGUGACAGCAGGGAGAACACACAGACGAAGCACAGUGGAUACACAGACGGACCAGCAACUACAAUGACAGAAGACGCGACUUAAAUACACACAGAGAAACACAGGGAGAUUACACACAGGUGGUGGACACAGCUGGGAGUAAUUAACGAGAUGAGGGAGGUAAAACUGAACACACUCACAUGAGACGCAGACCUUCACAUUAAAACAGGAAACAAGAAACACUACACAAGAACGCAGACACGACACUGAGACAGACAGAAUAUAACACAUAGAACUCAAUGCUAAACAUGAGACACAGCCAAAGAACAAUCCAUAAACAUGAAUAAACAGAAUAUAGAAUAAAAAUAAUAACCAACAAAUCACAAGGUAACAAAACGAUCAUUUAUGAGCAAACCAAAACAUAAUAAACUUAGAAUGCUGAGCCGUGACAUUUU
ensembl:lncRNA